UACGGAGGGUGCAAGCGUUAUCCGGAAUCACUGGGUUUAAAGGGUGCGUAGGCGGCUAUGUAAGUCAGUUGUGAAAUACCUCGGCUUAACCGAAGGAAGUGCGAUUGAUACUGCGUAGCUUGAAUCAGGUUGAGGUAGGCGGAAUGUGACAUGUAGCGGUGAAAUGCUUAGAUAUGUCAUAGAACACCGAUUGCGAAGGCGGCUUACUGGGCUUUGAUUGACGCUGAGGCACGAAAGCGUGGGGAGCAAACAGG
rnacentral:rRNA from 1 species